rnacentral:lncRNA from 10 species
GAGAACACUUGGACAGAAGAAGUGGAACAUCACACACUGGGGCCUGUCGUGGGGUGCGGGGAGCGGGGGGAGGGAUAGCAUUAGGAGAUAUACCUAAUGUAAAUGACAAGUUAAUGGGUGCAACACACCAACAUGGCACAUGUAUACAUAUGUAACAAACCUGCACAUUGUGCACAUGUACCCUAGAACUUAAAGUAUAAUAAAAAAAGAAAU